rnacentral:rRNA from 1 species
GAGGAAUAUUGGUCAAUGGGCGAGAGCCUGAACCAGCCAAGUAGCGUGAAGGAUGAAGGCUCUAUGGGUCGUAAACUUCUUUUAUAUGGGAAUAAAGUAUUCCACGUGUGGAAUUUUGUAUGUACCAUAUGAAUAAGGAUCGGCUAACUCCGUGCCAGCAGCCGCGGUAAUACGGAGGAUCCGAGCGUUAUCCGGAUUUAUUGGGUUUAAAGGGAGCGUAGGUGGAUUGUUAAGUCAGUUGUGAAAGUUUGCGGCUCAACCGUAAAAUUGCAGUUGAAACUGGGAGUCUUGAGUACAGUAGAGGUGGGCGGAAUUCGUGGUGUAGCGGUGAAAUGCUUAGAUAUCACGAAGAACUCCGAUUGCGAAGGCAGCUCACUAGACUGUUACUGACACUGAUGCUCGAAAGUGUGGGUAUCAAACA